GACGAACUCUGGCGGCGUGCUUACCACAUGCAAGUCGAACGGUGAAGCGCCUUCCUUUUUGGUGGGUGUAGAAGAGUGGCGAACGGGUGAGUAACACGUGAGUAACCUGCCCCCUUCUUCAGGAUAACCGCAUGAAAGUGUGGCUAAUACGGGAUAUUCUGGUUCUGUCGCAUGAUGGGUCUGGGAAAGAUCUUGUUUCGGUGGGGGAUGGGCUCGCGGCCUAUCAGCUUGUUGGUGGGGUGAUGGCCUACCAAGGCGGUGACGAGUAGCCGGCCUGAGAGUGUGUACCGUCACACUGGGAGUGAGAGACGGACGAGAAUAGUACGGGAAGAAGAAGUGAGGAAUAUUGGACGACGGACGUGAGCCUGACGGAGCGCCGCCGCGUGAGGAGUGGUGGCCUCCGGGUUGUGAUCGACUUUUGCGAGUGAAGAAAGCCUGCCUUGGAGGUGGGUGGGUUGACGGUAGCUGCAUAAGAAGUGCCGGCUAACCACGUG
rnacentral:rRNA from 1 species